UCUUCCGUAGUAUAGUGGUCAGUAUGUGAGCUUGUCAAUCUUCCACUCCUUCUUCCGAGAAGUUGUUUGGUUCUGAUAACGCUCGAGACCCGGGUUCAAUUCCCGGCGGGAGAG